CUUAGAGUUUGAUCCUGGCUCAGGAUGAACGCUGGCGGUAUGCUUAACACAUGCAAGUCGAACGGUGUCUUCGGACAUAGUGGCGGACGGGUGAGUAACGCGUGAGAAUCUAGCUUCAGGUCUGGGACAACCACUGGAAACGGUGGCUAAUACCGGAUGUGCCGGAAGGAGAAAGGCUUGCUGCCUGAAGAUGACCUCGCGUCCAAUUACCUAGUAGGUGGGGUAAGAGCCUACCUAGGCGACGAUCGGUAGUUGGUCUGAGAGGAUGACCAGCCACACUGGGACUGAGACACGGCCCAGACUCCUACGGGAGGCAGCAGUGGGGAAUUUUCCGCAAUGGGCGAAAGCCUGACGGAGCAAUACCGCGUGAGGGAGGAAGGCUCUUGGGUUGUAAACCUCUUUUCUCAGGGAAGAACACAAUGACGGUACCUGAGGAAUCAGCAUCGGCUAACUCCGUGCCAGCAGCCGCGGUAAUACGGAGGAUGCAAGCGUUAUCCGGAAUGAUUGGGCGUAAAGCGUCCGCAGGUGGCUGUGUAAGUCUGCUGUCAAAGAGCAAAGCUCAACUUUGUAAAGGCAGUGGAAACUACACGGCUAGAGUGCGUUCGGGGCAGAGGGAAUUCCUGGUGUAGCGGUGAAAUGCGUAGAGAUCAGGAAGAACACCGGUGGCGAAGGCGCUCUGCUAGGCCGCAACUGACACUGAGGGACGAAAGCUAGGGGAGCGAAUAAGAUUAGAUACCCCAGUAGUCCUAGCUGUAAACGAU
rnacentral:rRNA from 1 species